rnacentral:misc_RNA from 1 species
UUGCUCACAAAGAAGAGUGCAUCUUCUGCUGUAACUUUCAUAGCUUUACCUGGAAUUCCAUCCCAUGGAGGUCCUCCAGUCACUUGCUUUCCUUUCCUCAUAGCAGUGCAGUUUAACCAUCCAAGAUCAUUGCCACUCCUUUCUCUGAUAAGCAAACUACCAUAUAUGUCAACAAAAAACAAACUUCCGUUGUAGUUUCCCAGUGCA